UACGGGGGGAGCAAGCGUUGUUCGGAUUUACUGGGCGUAAAGGGCGCGUAGGCGGUCAGCACAAGUCAGUUGUGAAAUCUCCGGGCUUAACUCGGAAAGGUCAACUGAUACUGUGCGACUAGAGUGCGGAAGGGGCAACUGGAAUUCUCGGUGUAGCGGUGAAAUGCGCAGAGAUCGGGAGGAACACCCGUAGCGAAGGCGGCGCUCUGGGCCGGUACUGACGCUGAGGAGCGAAAGCGUGGGGAGCAAACAGG
rnacentral:rRNA from 1 species